rnacentral:rRNA from 1 species
CCUUUGACGUUAGCGGCGGACGGGUGAGUAACACGUGGGUAACCUACCUAUAAGACUGGGAUAACUUCGGGAAACCGGAGCUAAUACCGGAUAAUAUUUCGAACCGCAUGGUUCGAUAGUGAAAGGUGGUUUUGCUAUCACUUAUAGAUGGACCCGCGCCGUAUUAGCUAGUUGGUAAGGUAACGGCUUACCAAGGCGACGAUACGCAGCCGACCUGAGAGGGUGAUCGGCCACACUGGAACUGAGACACGGUCCAGACUCCUACGGGAGGCAGCAGGG